rnacentral:rRNA from 1 species
UACGUAGAAGACUAGUGUUAUUCAUCUUUAGUAGGUUUAAAGGGUACCUAGACGGUAUAAUUAGUCUUAAAUAGGAUACAAUUAUACUAGAGUUAUAUAUGAGAAGGUGAGUAUUUUUUGGAGUAGAGUUGAAAUUCUUUGAUACCUUAACGACUGAUAACUGGCGAAAGCAACCUUUUAUCUAAUAACUGACGUUGAGGGACGAAGACUCGGGUCACGAACAGG